rnacentral:rRNA from 1 species
GACGAACGCUGGCGGCGUGCUUAACACAUGCAAGUCGAGCGGUAAGGCCCUUUCGGGGGUACACGAGCGGCGAACGGGUGAGUAACACGUGGGUGACCUGCCCUCAGCUCUGGGAUAAGCCUGGGAAACUCGGUCUAAUACUGGAUAUGACUCCACGGUGCAUGUCGUGGGGUGGAAAGCCUUGUGCGGCUGAGGAUGGGCCCGCGGCCUAUCAGCUUGUUGGUGGGGUGAUGGCCUACCAAGGCGACGACGGGUAGCCGGCCUGAGAGGGCGACCGGCCACAUUGGGACUGAGACACGGCCCAGACUCCUACGGGAGGCAGCAGUGGGGAAUCUUGCGCAAUGGGCGAAAGCCUGACGCAGCGACGCCGCGUGA